rnacentral:rRNA from 1 species
ACGGGUGAGGAACACGUAGGAACCUGCCCAAGAGAGGGGGAUAACUAAGGGAAACUUUAGCUAAUACCGCAUAAUCUCUGAGGAGAAAAGCUGCCCGCAAGGGUAGCGCUUUUGGAGGGGCCUGCGUCCGAUUAGCUAGUUGGUGAGGUAAGAGCUCACCAAGGCGAUGAUCGGUAACUGGUCUGAGAGGACGACCAGUCACACUGGGACUGAGACACGGCCCAGACUCCUACGGGAGGCAGCAGUGGGGAAUCUUGGACAAUGGGGGCAACCCUGAUCCAGCGAUGCCGCGUGGGUGAAGAAGGCCUUCGGGCUGUAAAGCCCUUUAGGCUGGGAAGAAGUGUGCGGGAUGAAUAAUCCUGUAUGUUGACGGUACCAGCAGAAUAAGCACCGGCAAACUCUGUGCCAGCAGCCGCGGUAAUACAGAGGGUGUAAGCGUUAAUCGGAUUUACUGGGCGUAAAGGGCGCGUAGGCGGUUGAGUGAGUGUGAUGUGAAAGCCCCGGGCUUAACCUGGGAAGUGCAUCGCAAACGACUUAACUGGAGUAGGUGAGGGGGUGGCGGAAUUUCCGGUGUAGC